CAGCAGCCACGGUAAUACGAAGGGUGCAAGCGUUAUCCGGAUUCACUGGGUUUAAAGGGUGCGUAGGCGGAUCUGUAAGUCAGUGGUGAAAUCUCCAGGCUUAACCUGGAAACUGCCGUUGAUACUAUAGGUCUUGAAUUUUGUGGAGGUUAGCGGAAUAUGUCAUGUAGCGGUGAAAUGCAUAGAUAUGACAUAGAACACCAGUUGCGAAGGCAGCUGGCUACACAACUAUUGACGCUGAGGCACGAAAGCGUGGGGAGCAAACAGGAUUAGAUACCCCCGUAGUCCCUGUCUCUUAUAC
rnacentral:rRNA from 1 species